CCUACGGGAGGCAGCAGUGGGGUAAUAUUGGACAAUGGGCGAAAGCCUGAUCCAGCCAUGCCGCGUGUGUGAAGAAGGUCUUCGGAUUGUAAAGCACUUUAAGUUGGGAGGAAGGGCAGUAAGUUAAUACCUUGCUGUUUUGACGUUACCGACAGAAUAAGCACCGGCUAACUUCGUGCCAGCAGCCGCGGUAAU
rnacentral:rRNA from 1 species